UUGUUAUUGUUAUUGUCGAUGUUGCUAUUGCUGUUUGUUAUUGCACAUAAAAACAAAACAAGAAAACUGAAAAUAAGCAAAAAAAAAAAAAAAGAUUCCAUGCGCCGUGACAGGCGUGAAGUUUUGGUAAACCCUUCACGGCAAUGGAUGUGCCUAGAGAUCGAGGAUGACUUUUAACUUGCAGGGUGAAAAUCAAAAGAAAAGAAAUUUAAUUAUAGUUUAAUGACAGCACGCAAAUAGUCGACAAAUCAAAAAGGCAAAGUAAAUGCCAACAUCAUUUGACUAUCAUGGACACAAGGAGAAAUGAUGGCACAGCCGAAGCUGAAGUCGCAGUCGCAGUCGGAGUUGCCAUCAUCAUCCCAGAGCCCAGGCAGAGGCAGCAGCAGCACUUUCAUCGGCGCUUACGCAGCAUGAGAUUCAGAUCUAUUGCCGGUAAAACUCGACUUCAACUCUCCAGCUUCGAAUAUCCAAAUCCCAGAGACUGAGAGAAUGAGAGGGAGAUAGAUAAACCUAAGCCCGCCUGCGACUUAUUUGUGCGCCUAGCCUGGCUUCUACCUUGCCCCAUUGUUGCGCCGCGGUUUCGUUUUUCAUUUUUGAAAGCUCAUCGUGCACGAGGUCAAUGAAGAGCAGCUCCAGCUUCAGCUCCAACUCAAGCUCCAGCUUCAGUUCAACCUCAGCUCCAGUAAGAGCAGCUGAAAACGCGAUUCUGUUGUGUUUUUUUGUUUCUUCUGUUUUUGUACCUUGUCUGCCGGUAUCAAAGAUUUGCUUUCAACACAGUUUUUGCAACAAUGUUUCUCAGAAAUAUUAACUGAGAACACGCCGAAAAAGCAUAGGCUCAACUAUAUAAAUAUCCUUUUUCUGUUAUUUUUUGCACAGCAGCAGCAGCAGCAACGGCAGCAGCAAACAACCGAAAGUGUCAGCUGAAAUGAUAAUGAUAAAUGGUGCUUGAUGCCGGAGAAGGUUCGAGUAUGGAGAGAUGACACCCGAAGGUGUAGGCAGUGUGACUUCGACUUCGACUCACAGCUCCAAAUCAGCUUAAUGAAAUUUCGUUGAGCACUUUGAGUCUCAGUUGAUUUAAUGCUUACAAAAUGUUGGUCAGAAGCUUCAAAAUAUGAAUUAAACUUAAUAAUUACUUGUGCUAAAUUGUAUGUUAUAAAUAUAAAAU